UCUCUCUCUCUGUAUAUAUAAUUACUACUACUAUUAUAGAAAAGGCUUGUUUCAACAUGUGUGGUUAAUGUCUUUUAUUUCAAAUCUGAGGGUAUUUAUGUCUUUUCACAUAGCUUAGUGUUUCUGUGAAGGUGUCUUGAAUGGACACAUCAUUGUUUACGUGUCCCUUCAUCUUCACUUAUUCCAUUGUUGUUGUUCUCAAAAAGUUUUUGUAUUGUUCUUGGCUUAUAAUUAAUUGUUGUUCUCAAAAAGUUUCUGUAUGAGCACAAUGUUUUUUUUGGUCAAGUUUCCCCACUAAACAACAAGUUUUUCUUUAUUGAUUUAAAAAUUUGAGUUUUGGGGGUCAUUUUCUUUGAAAUUUGUGUUAUUAUGCUUCCAAAGAUUGAAUUUUUUCUGUAGUGAAAAACAGAGAUGAGUGAAAACCCAUGGCCAAAAUUCUUUAACUCGAUACAAAAUCAGCAAAAAACUUGAAAAGAAAAAUCAAUAAAUUCACUGAGAUGGUAAGUAAAAUAGAAAAGCAAGGAAUGCACUGCAUCAAGGGGAAAAACAAAGGUAAGAUGCAUCUAAUUUUUGGGAAAAUUAUUCUACAGCAGGAGGGACCUGGAAAAGCUUACUUCAAGAUACAAAGUUUUACAGCCGCAAGAACCAGAAAAUAACAGCAAGUAUUCCUCAUUUCCAGACUGUUUCUGUCCCUCCAUCUUGAUUAGUUGUCCAAGGAUAUCUACCAACACGGGAUGAUAUUUAAUUUAUCUUAUCCUGAUCCAUCUAGCUAACAACCCCUUAGAUCUAAUGGUAGCUUUGACUGUUCAGUAACCUUGAAGUUGUUUCAGGGUUUUCCUGUGUGUGAUUCUGAUCCUUCUUUUGAUAAGAAGACCUCAAAGUUACUGAAAUGUAAAAGAACAAUACCUCUUUGAUUUACCUCGGCACUUCUUGUAAACUACAUUCUUCUGCGUGCUACAGUGGCUUCUAGAACUAUCAAGUUAAUUAUGAUUUUGGAUCAUAGUAUCAUACUAUAUCAUCUACUUGCCUAGCUUUGAAGCCUAUUGAGCCAUUGUUAACACUUUUUGGGUUCUUGUUUUUUGUUCUUGGCUUAUACUUAUUUAUCUUCUUGUUAGAUUAUACAACUGUGGAUACUACUGGUUCUCACUUGCGUGGGCAUUCUUUUUUUGUUAUCUGGUUCGGUCUUAAUGAUUCUUCAUUAGUACUAAAAAAUAGUAGUAGUAGAAGCAGAAAUGAUGAUAAAGUGGGGUUUUUUGAAAAUGAUUGUGAUAUAUUUGAUGGGAAUUGGGUGUGGGAUGAGAGUUAUCCACUUUAUCUAUCAGAAGAUUGUAUGUUUUUGGAUGAAGGUUUUUGUUGUUCUGAGAAUGGUAGACCUGAUAAUUUCUAUACCAAAUGGCGUUGGCAGCCUAAGGAUUGCAACUUGCCCAGGUUUGUGUUUCAAUCGACUGAAUACUUGACAUCUUCAUAUGCGAAAAUAUAAUGAAUAUGUAAAAAAAAUAUCACCAAUCUUAAUGGUGGCUUACAGAUGUUUUUACUUGAUAGUUGAGCAUUACAAGUGUUAUAUUUCUCUUGUUAUAAUCUGUGAAUAUUUAUGUAAUUGACCUCAAUUUAAUUAGUAUUAGUUGUGGCAUGAUUUUUUCUUGGCCGUUAUUGGGUUGGAAUGUAGGGAACUCAAAAAUAGGGUAAUUAAAAAGAAUGGUAUUUUCCAUGUAUAAGAGACAAGAAUGCUCCCAACAGGGCUGAGGACAAAUUGGACAACUGCUGCAGGUUAUUACAAAGCUACUGGAAAAGAUAGAGAGAUUUAUUAGAUUAAAACUUUGAUUGAUGUGAAGGGAACUCUGACUUGCUAUAAGAAGGCAUGUAUAGUUAAAUAUUCCACUUUGAAUCUGAACUAAUUUUCCAUCAUCUGCAGAUACUUUUUUUCAAAUAUUGUAAUGUAGGCAAGAUACAACACUAUAUAGUGCAACAUGUGAACGAAAUAUGUGUGUCUCGCUAUGUAUACAAGCAUUUAGCUUGCAAAUAUCUUUCAAUGUUGGGCCCGUGCUUGCACGGGCCAGGUCUACCUAGUAUAUAUAUAUAUAUAUUUUCUCAAUCCCUAUGUUAAUUUUUUCUUUUCUUGCAUCACCAUAUAUUUUUUAUUUUCUUUUAUAUAUUUUGUCCGGACCAAAUUAUACUUAUUAAGAUGUGCCAUUAUUGAAAUAUUUUGAAGUUGUGACACUAAGAAUUUGAUAUUUGGGUGAUAAUGGUUUUAUACCAAGCCAGUACUAGGAAGCAUGUAUCCACCACUCUGUUAUGACAUGAAAAUGAAAUAAGAAAAGUUCCAUGUCCUUCUGGGGAACAACAAUUGUACUGGAUCUGCAAUAACAAUGAGAUUUUUUGUGUAAUUAUCUCUUGUUUUCUUCAUUUAUGUUGUAACAAAUUAUAGUGCAUCUAUCUAACCCUUGUUUUCCUCCUAGCUUUCUAGUAGGAAUCCUUGUGGCCUUAUGUAUACUACUUAAUGGGGUAUCUAACAUAGUUGAAGGGUGGAUUGUUCAUUCAGCAAGGCCCUGGAAAUUUUCUCUGUUAUAAAAGAAUUUUAUUUGUAGAAAUAAAGGUAAUGGUCACUACUCACUAGAGACAUAGGAAAAAAGAACAAAGCGUAGAGUAGAAUUUAAGAUUCGGACAAACUCUAUUAGAGAAGUUCCGAUUUGCCUUCAAAGACAAAUUGUCUACCAUUGGAAUGAAAUGAACGUCAAUAAAGUGUAAAGUCUAAGAGGCUGUAGUGUAUCUUAGACUUUUUUCUUUCCUGAUUAAUGGUUGAAUGUAAUGAAAUCUAGCUUUCAAGACAUGCAAGUUCAUAUCCUUGCUUUGUAUUUAAAAUUUCUCUUUCCACUUUUAAAUUACUUUUCCGACUUCUUUUGCCAAUGCAUUAAAAUUAAGGAUAUAAAGUUAAAGUAGAGGUCUUUUCGUCUAUAAGCUGAAAAUUAGUGUUAGUAGCAGAAGGGAGAAACAUAUUUGGAGUAUGAUUGAGGUGGACAUAAAAGUAUUUUAGAUUGAUGGAGGUUUGGGUUAUAAUCUUAUCCUAGGCAAAAAUAAGAAUAUGAGAGAAAGGUAAAGCUAGACAUACUAUUGUGGAUGUUAUAUUGUUCAGUAGGAAUUUUUUGGUCCUUCUUGUAUUGUCUGUCCAAGUGGCUAUAAAUAUAUUUAUUAUUUACUUAUUAAGGAGAAAACAUGGAGAAAAUGAUCAUCAAGUAUUGGGGCUGCUUUAUUUGACAGUUUAUCCUUUUGAGGCUCGACAGUUAUAGUCCGUAAUGUAAGUGAAAAGGUGACAAGACUACGUGCGGCACUUGACGGUUUACUCACGAUUCUUGCACGAUCUCGUAAACUCAAGUAAGCCUCUCACUGUUUGGAUCGCUAAGAGAAAUAAGAAGAAAGACAAAGGACAGAAUUUUGGAAGAGAGGACUGUAUCUUAUUAGUCAAUUGAUGGAUGAUUUACAAAUACAAUGACCCUCCUAUUUAUACUACUCUAAUGACUAAGAGUAAAUAAAUGCUGCUAUACAAGUCCCUAAGUACAUGCACUCAAGACAUGUCUACAUUCCUAGAAUGUCUCUAACUCUUCCAAAAGGACUCCUAGAUUUCUCUUAGUCUGCCCCAAGAUUCUAGAAAGGCUUGAACAAGCCCCUCCAAGGCUCAAGGCUGCCUGCUUUCCGUCUGCUGCACACUUGGACCGCCUGCCCCUUCGUACGCUGGACUUUUGGGCCGCCUGUCCCCUUUCGCAUGCUGCAAUCUGCCUGGAUAGGUGGCGAUCCGCUUGGAUAGGUGACGGGACGUCACAAUCUCCAUGUAUUUGGUCAAAAACUCUAAAUGUAGCAGAACUUUUUUUAGAAAAAAGAGUGUUAAGGUUGAAUAUUUUGUCCAUGGCCUCACGUGCCAACAGUGAAGUCAGUUUAUGGUUGCAAGAAGAGAUGGACAGAGCAACAACAACAAUGGCCUUUGAGACAGGCAUCAAAAUAGAUACUUUUCGAUGAGUAUUUCUGGCCUACUGAAUUAAAGUGACAUUUCAAAUCUGAAAGUUUUCGAUGAUGUUUCCAUUAUAGAUGGUCUUUGGGAAGGUAAGAGGGAUGAGAUGAGACGAAUAGGAGGUUCCUGAUGGGAAAUUUUCUGGUGUUACCUUUUCAUAUACAGUAGGGACUAUAUUUGUCAAGGAGAUACAUCAAGAACCAUUUUGAUCAUUUUUUCGAUAAUAAGCUAUGGCUGCCUAUGUCGUGCGGGUCUUUUGAGAGAGAAGGUAUUAAGCUUUGGUUUUGGUACCACGCGUUCUUAGGUUAGCUUAUGAAAAAUGGAGAACUCUUGAAGUGCAGGAUUAGAAAGCUGAAGAGCAAUGAAGGUUAAAAAGAAGGCUAAGCAUAACAUUUACGUAGAUAAUACUUUGUUGGUUAGAUAAUACAGCCUUCUGUCCCUUGUCUUGACUUACACACACUUGGUGUUGUCUAUAAUAGAGAUUAAGACAAAGAGGUGUGAACGAAUUAUCGUAUAUGAUGUUCUUGGAGUUCUAUUAAAAUAAUUGGUAUUGUGAAGAGUAUGAAAAUGUGAUUUGAGUUGAUUAUUGCACUCAAGUCAUGAGAAUGAGUUUUUUUUCUUCUUCUCUCGUUUGAGAAAGGUAAUGUUAAAAUGGACGCUCUCACUUUUACCAAUUUGAUCCCUACAAAAAAUGAAGAAGAGAGUUCUAAUAUUGAGUUCUAAUAUUGUAAUUUAAAGAUUAGACGAUUGUAAAGAACUCAAUAUAUACAUAUCUGGAGCUGGGUUGACAGGUUCAGAGUUCUGAAUGAUCAGAUUGAGCAACCAGUAAACUCAGAUGGGGGCUAGGAAAUAGUCUAAUUAAUGGAAGGAUAAGAUGAAAGAAAUCAUAUUUGGACAAAAUGGUGUUUAUGUAAUGUGACUUGAAAACCUUAAGUUAAUAUCAUUCCAAUAUAAAUAUUUGAUGAGAUUGCUAUAUUUAUGUUUUUUUGGCAUCUGUACAGAUAAUAUUAUUUCCAUGUUUUUAUACAUUACAUCAACUGCCUUCUAUAUGAUUACUUCUUUUAUGGUUUCUUCCUCUUUUAUGGUUUAGAACUGUAUAAUUACAUUUAUUGAUUCAUGCUUCCAAGUCCUCGUUUAGGUUAUCCACUAUGAGACGACUUGGUGACAUUUUUGUUUCCAGUCUCAUUCUCUCCUCUUGCUUUGUGUUGUGUCAUUAUUUUCUAGAAUCCAGACAGGGAAAGAUGAUAAAGCUUGGGCUUCAGGUGACACUUCAAGAAAGCCUCUAAGAACAGGUUAGAUCUAACACAUCAAGUUGUCUUUCUCUGCAGGUUUGCUCGACUUUUCAUAGUUGUGUGAAAGCAAUGAGGUUCCUUCAGUGGCAAUGAUAUUGUUUCCAGUUAGCACACCACCUUUAUUUCAAGCAGGAAAGUUAUAAGAGAAAAAUCUGCAUCUACUUUAGUGUCUAAACUUUCUGCAACAUCUAAAAAGCUUCUUUGAAACAGGGUGGGGGUGGGGGUGGUGGGGUUUACUUCAAAUGUGAGGUUAUGCUUCUAGAAAACAUCUAAAAAGUGAAUAUUCAUCAACAGUAACAUAAUUUGAUUGAGUUAAAUGCUUUGUGAAUCAGUUUCUUGUCAGUUUGAAACUUAGGCUUAAUCACUACUAUAAGAGCUGGUUGUGUCAAAUUUUUUGGACUCAUCUUUUCUCCCUAUUGGAUCACUCACGAAUGGUUUCUUACAGCAUUUUUAUCUUUGUUGUGAUAUUGUUAGAUAACUUGUACCGAUGACUAUUAAAAUAAUAUAACCAUGUAUAUGACUUGUUUUUCCUUGUUAACGUCUGUCUAUGCAGUUGGGAUAAAAAAUUAGGAGUUUCUCUGUUAGCGUCACGAGUUGUUUUUCCCUCUCUUGGAUACUGAAGAAUUACUAGUAUGAUGUGUGUACAAAUAUUUGAAGUUUGUGCCAGCUCCUGAGAACUGAUUUGGAAAGGUGGAAAUGUCACUUGACAUAUAUAACACUCCAUCUUUGUGCCUUAACUCAUUUUAUCCCUUUGAUGUUUACAUUUAUAAACAAGGACUUGAAAGAAGGUGCCAUUUUCAUAGAUCGAAUAUUCAAUAAUUCUAGUUUCCUGAAAUAGGUGUCAUUUUUUCACUCUUAUCUCAAAUGGAUGUAUCUAACCUCUUAUAGAAUGGUGUACUUUUGAGGAUAAAUGACAAAGACAGAAAUAUUACAAGGGCAAUAUUGUAAUGAGACGUUCAUAUAACUACAAACCAAGUGAGUUCGAAGAAAAAGAUUCCCUUGUGAUAAAAUUUUGCGCUCUCCCCCUUCAGAAAUUAUUGUACAUAAUGCCAUUAAAUUAGGCUCCGUUGGAAAGAGGACAAACAACACUUCAAAUAUAUAUUUGAAAUCUCACGAAAUGUCAAUGGUAUGUAGUAUUUUUAAUUGUAAAUAUUUGUUUAAGGAAAUGUAAAAGUUUUUCUCUAAUGUAAACUUUGAUGUAAAUUUACGUGGGAGGUCAUUUUUUUCCUUCCAAAA